rnacentral:rRNA from 1 species
CCAAUAGCGUAUAUUAAAGUUGUUGCAGUUAAAAAGCACGUAGUUGAAUUUUGGGUCUGGCCGGGCGGCCCGCCAUCCGGGUGAGCACUGUUCCGACGCCGGGGCUAUCCUUCUGGUGAGUCGGCAUGUCCUUUGCUGGGUGUGUCGGGGAACCAGGACCAUUACCUUGAAAAAAUUAGAGUGUUCAAAGCAGGCGUAUGCUCGGAUACAUUAGCAUGGAAUAAUGAAAUAGGACGCGUGGUGCUAUUUUGCUGGUUUCUGGAACCGCCGUAAUGAUUAAUAGGGAUAGUUGGGGGCAUUAGUAUUCAAUUGUCAGAGGUGAAAUUCUUGGAUUUAUUGAAGACUAACUUCUGCGAAAGCAUUUGCCAAGGAUGUUUUCAUUAAUCAAGAACGAAAGUUAGGGGAUCGAAGACGAUCAGAUACCGUCGUAGUCUUAACCAUAAACUAUGCCGACUAGGAAUCGGGCGAUGUUAUUCUCAUGACUCGCCCGGCGCCUUAUG